rnacentral:rRNA from 1 species
UGGGGAAUAUUGCACAAUGGGCGCAAGCCUGAUGCAGCCAUGCCGCGUGUAUGAAGAAGGCCUUCGGGUUGUAAAGUACUUUCAGCGGGGAGGAAAGGAGUAAAGUUAAUACCUUUGCUCAUUGACGUUACCCGCAGAAGAAGCACCGGCUAACUCCGUGCCAGCAGCCGCGGUAAUACGGAGGGUGCAAGCGUUAAUCGGAAUUACUGGGCGUAAAGCGCACGCAGGCGGUUUGUUAAGUCAGAUGUGAAAUCCCCGGGCUCAACCUGGGAACUGCAUCUGAUACUGGAAAGCUUGAGUCUCGUAGAGGGGGGUAGAAUUCCAGGUGUAGCGGUGAAAUGCGUAGAGAUCUGGAGGAAUACCGGUGGCGAAGGCGGCCCCCUGGACGAAGACUGACGCUCAGGUGCGAAAGCGUGGGGAGCAAACAGG